ensembl:lncRNA
AGCAUAAAGAGUCUUUAAACAGGAGCUCUGCAUCCACCUGAACACAUCCUGUCCUACUCUCAGAUAGAUGGUGAACGUAACCUAACAAGGUCAGGAGGGAGCAUCAUGAUGACCAUGGACAACACUGUUGGUCUGAGGUGUGUUCUCAACCCCAGAGAGGUGUUCAACAGCAUUAACCAGUCUUUCCAGGUUGUUGUUGAUGGAUGACAGCAAGGGCUGCAGCACUCUCUCCAUGCUGCUCCUCAUACUGACCAGCUCCCUCUGUAACAUGUCGUAACCUUGGCGAUGCACCUGGACCAGUGCUGCCAGGUCCUGAGGAGGUAGCUGGACCUGCAUGUGUGGUUGGACCUCAAUCAAAGGAAUGUGGACCGUAGGUUGGUUCACUUGGGGUAUGUUCGUCUGAGGCUGCACAGUGGACUGGGGCAUAUAGGCCUGUGAUUGGUUUGCUUGGGGUAUAUAGGCCUGUGAUAGGUUGGCUUGGGCUAGAGUAGCCUUUGAUUGGUUCGCUUGGGUUAUAUAGGCCUGUGAUAUGUUGGCUUGGGGUAGAGUAGUCUGCUGUGGCAGUGGCACUACUUGGGGUAUGUUUACGUGGAAUGGAGCAUAACCUUGAAGCAAACCAUCAGCCUGGGGUUGAACAGUGACCGGGUGUGUAUUGGUUUGGGGUUGAAGGGUGCCCUGAGACUGAGGGAUGUGGACAGUUCCAGUCACUUGAGGUGUGCUGAUCUGGGUACCAGUUUCAAGGUUCAAUCUCACUACGUUCACCCGGGGUUGGAGGUUGGUUUGGGGUAAAGUGGGCCUGGGUGAAGUGGCAGGCGUGUGUGUCUGGGGUGGAGGGACUCUGCUGGCCUCAGACGAUGCUGCAGCGUCCAGAGUCUGUUGACCAUCAACCAGGUGGUUAGUCGAGGGACUGUCCAGCUCCACCCCAAUGCAUUGGGAACCAACUUCAUUCUGAAACGCUAGGGAAGAAAAAAUAAGCUAUAUUUAGUGUUCCUUACAUACU